rnacentral:lncRNA from 1 species
AAAUAUUAGAAAAUUCGCUCUCUCUUUUCGAGAUCACUACCGAAACAACAAUGAAUCAAUCUGAUCCUAAAAUAUUACAAAGGAAACCUACCCUAUAUAUCCAUAGGUUUUUGCUGGUGAGGUGAGGUUGUAAUAUAUUAGUGCCAUAAAAGCAAAGCACCCAAUAAGUUGUAUCGUGGAAUUGGCGUCGGAUUCACGUUCCACUUCCGGCAAAGCAAUUUGUCGAUAUUUCUUCUAUCCUUUUUGAGAUUUAUAGAAGAAGCAGGUGAUAGUGGAAGUUGACGCCUUCAUUCAUUUCGGCUACCGUCUUAUAACAUAAGCAUCGCAUCACAUUCACAUUCGCAUUCGCAUUCGCAUUCGCAUUCACUUGUAAAUCCACUCAAUUUUCUAUAUACAUACAUACGUGCGUUUACUAUGUCAUAUUCUGAAACUUUGGAUAUGGCUGGAGAGAGAGAGAGAGAGAGAGGAAUUGAUUCUUAUUAUAUCUUCUCUUAGAUAUAAAAAUUGAAUUGGAGCUACACUCGCUUCAAGC